rnacentral:rRNA from 1 species
CGGUGAAUACGUUCCCGGACCUUGCACACACCGCCCGUCAAGCCAUGGAAGCUGGGUGUACCUAAAGUCGGUAACCGUAAGGAGCCGCCUAGGGUAAAACUCGUGACUGGGGCU